GGCCACAUGAGAGCCAAACUGUCUCUUGUAAUCCAUCAAUUAAACUGAUCUCCUAGUACAAAAGCUAGAAUAAUAAUAUAAGACCAGAAGACCCUGUGAAGCUUUAACUAACCUAUUAAACCUAUUAAUAGUUACUUUCGGUUGGGGCGACCUUGGAACAAAACAAAACUUCCAAAUACCAUGAGCCUUACCUCAUAACAUCAAGGCUUACAAGCCAUAAUAUGACCCAGUAUAACUGAUAAUUGAACCAAGUUACUCCAGGGAUAACAGCGCCAUCUUCUUCAAGAGCCCAUAUCAAAAAGAAGGUUUACGACCUCGAUGUUGGAUCAGGACACCCAAAUGGUGCAGCCGCUAUUAAAGGUUCGUUUGUUCAACGAUUAACAGUCCU
rnacentral:rRNA from 1 species